rnacentral:rRNA from 1 species
AUACGGAGGGUGCAAGCGUUAAUCGGAAUUACUGGGCGUAAAGCGUACGUAGGCGGUCCGUUAAGUUAGAUGUGAAAGCCCCGGGCUUAACCUGGGAACUGCAUUUAAAACUGGCGGACUAGAGUUGAGUAGAGGGGAGUGGAAUUUCAGGUGUAGCGGUGAAAUGCGUAGAGAUCUGAAGGAACACCAGUGGCGAAGGCGACUCCCUGGACUCGAACUGACGCUGAGGUACGAAAGCGUGGGUAGCAAACGGGAUUAGAAACCCGGGUAGUCC